UUCCAUGGAAGUAAACAGGAGGCAUUACUUUUGGAGCAACCUACACAAUUGCUAUGCUAAGCACUGAGGAAUUAGUGGUUCUUGUAGUCCAGAAACUCAGGAAGACAUUCGUGUUUAGUAGGGCGAGGUUCAAACUAGCAGUAACGAUGAUUCUCCUGGUAACAGUUGGUACCAUGUAUGGUAAAAAUGAACAUAAGAUGCUUGAAUAUCUUCAAGUGAUUUAUAUGCAGUUGGUCCAUAUAAGGUGGAAAGUAUUUGUUCUUUACCAUAUGCUACUGCGAUCCCUAUGCAUCUCUGUAAGGCAGUGUAUGUAAUGACAAAACUAAAAGGUCAGCCACCUUGCACUGUGUUACUACUUUUCUUAACCCUUCAUCUUCUCCAGCUGUGAAGGAGAUGACCUAGUUACUGGAAAAUGAUUUGAAACCCCUGUGUGAAGCCAGCAAAGGAGAGAGAAAUUCCAAGGGUGUAUUUGCUAAACUAAGCUGAUCAUACUGCUUUCAGGGCUGUACUGUAUGAAAUUGCUAGUAUUGGCUCUCCUUUUCCUUGAAUUUUCUGUGCACUCAAACUUGACUUUUAAAAGAGAAAUUCAUUAGAACUGUUUUCUAUUGCGUAGCGAACAUUUUCCAUUGACAGCUUCAUCAACAUGAUUUGUCUUCAGCCUGUUUCCUCAUCCAAAUUGUUCUGGUAGUGAUAUGUAAAAUUAAGUUGUAUCCAAACUUUUCUUUUAAUUUUAUUAUUCAAUCAUUUUCAAACCCUUAUGUGUAAUUAAGUCACUGAACCGUAAGAAACCUUAAGAACUUACCUUGUGACUCACAGACUGCAGCUAUGCUUGGGAAUUCUAAAAAGUAAAUGACUCCAAUAAACAUUUAAUUUAAAUUUAGUAAUGGAUACAGAAAUGUUUAGGGAUGUUAAACUGUAUAUUGGAGGAAGGAAAAGCUAUUAACUCAAGUAAUGCAGUUGGUUUAGCAGAAAUUAAAGACCCAAAUAUGUGAAUGUUAAUUGGUGUUCACAUUUCCAGAUCAAUGCUAAAGUAAUUAGGUUACUAUUUAAAAGGUCAAAAUAACAUCACCAAAAUAUAUAAUGUAAGUAUUGAAAAGUUAUGAAAUAAGUGUAGCUUAAAUAAAUGCAUUUUAUAUAAUAGAAUAAAAAAUGUUGGUUUAGUAAUACAUAAGACAGCGUGCACUAAAAAUCCUUUAUGCAUGUUCCAAAAUAGUGGGUUUUUUCAAGGCCAUAAACAUCUUAGGGCAUAAGCUCAAUUUGUAUUUUUGAAGGACCCCAAUAGUUUUAGGGUUUUGUAUAAUUUCAACUACUUAUCAUUCUUCCUGUUUGGCUGAAAAAGAGAAAAGACAAAGGAGAUAAAUGUUCUUCUUUUGGGGAUCUGCUGAUAAAAUGAAAUAAAGUUAUUGAGUGAGUUUUUCAGAGGUGUCUUCAGAGAAGGAAAGAGACAGCAAGCAAAUGAAACAUUUGUCAUGGACUGCAGGAGAAUGGAGAGACAGAUGGCUCAAUAGACCUUAUCUACACUGCUUCCGACUUUAUGCCCUCCUUACUGAGUGCCAUGUUUCUGCAAAGCGGUUUGUGCUGCAGAGCCAGGAUCCAGAAACUCAGCAGCUCAUUGCUCAGUGAUCUUUGGAGUCCCAACUCGUAGCUCAAGCUCUUGAAAAUACAGACUCUGUGAAAUCCAUUUCUCAGUUGAAGUUUGUAUUUCAAACAUUUGUAGAGUUCACGUCCGUUUUAAUAUCUUGUAAUAAAUGAUUAUCAGUGCCUUAAUACAUCACAUGCUAAUGCCAACAAAGAGCGCUCAUUAAUGUUCCUUAAUGAGGUUCAGAAAACAUGGAGGGGUGGUUUGCAGUUAGUGUAUGGAUGUUUAAAAGGAGCAGGAGCUCUGUAUGAAUAUCAAAGACAGCCUGAGGGAAAUAAAAGAAUUGCAAGCUGUAA
ensembl:lncRNA